GGGGAGUAUUGGACAAUGGGGGCAACCCUGAUCCAGCAAUGCCGCGUGGGUGAUGAGGGCCUUCGGGUUGUAAAGCCCUUUCGGCGGGGACGAUGAUGACGGUACCCGCAGAAGAAGCCCCGGCUAACUUCGUGCCAGCAGCCGCGGUAAUACGAAGGGGGCUAGCGUUGUUCGGAAUGACUGGGCGUAAAGGGCGCGUAGGCGGCGCAUUUAGUCAGGCGUGAAAGCCCUGGGCUCAACCUAGGAAUUGCGUUUGAUACUGGUGCGCUGGAGUGCGGGAGAGGAUGGUGGAAUUCCCAGUGUAGAGGUGAAAUUCGUAGAUAUUGGGAAGGACACCGGUGGCGAAGGCGGCCAUCUGGACCGUUACUGACGCUGAGGCGCGAAAGCGUGGAGAGCAAAC
rnacentral:rRNA from 1 species